rnacentral:rRNA from 1 species
CCUACGGGUGGCUGCAGUGAGGAAUAUUGGUCAAUGGGCGCGAGCCUGAACCCGCCAAGUAGCGUGAAGGCUGACUGCCCUACGGGUUGUACACUUCUUUUAUAAAGGAAUAAAGUGAGGCACGUGUGCAUUUUUGUAUGUACUUUAUGAAUAAGGAUCGGCUAACUACGUGCCAGCCGCCGCGGUAAUACGGAGGAUCCGAGCGUUAUCCGGAUUUUUUGGGUUUAAAGGGAGUGUAGGUGGGUUGUUAAGUCAGUUGUGAAAGUUUGCGGCUCAACCGUAAAAUUGCAAUUGAUACUGGCAGUCUUGAGUACAGUUGAGGUAGGCGGAAUUCGUGGUGUAGCGGUGAAAUGCUUAGAUAUCACGAAGAACUCCGAUGGCGAAGGCAGCUUACUAAACUGCCACUGACAUUGAUGCUCGAAAGUGUGGGGAUCAAACAGGAUUAGAUACCCGAGUAGUC